AAUUCGUAUUAGAAUUAAGUUUUCGGUUUUCGAAAAAUUAAAAAAAAAAAAGUUUUCGGUUUUCCUUCUCAAAAAAUGUUUGAAACCCUCUCAAUGUUUUCUCUGCUCAGCUCCUCACCUGUAGAAACAAUGGAUGAUAUAAGGCAACAAAAAUCCAUAUGGUGCAAAUUCAAUGAUGAUGCCGGGUUGGUUUGGGUCACGAUGAGGAGUUCCCCAUUUGAAAGAGAGUGAUGCUCGGCCG